ACCCAGCUGACGAGUCCCAAAUGGGACGAAACGCGCAUCCUGGAU
rnacentral:hammerhead_ribozyme from 1 species